UGGACCUCAGCUAAUGCUACUUUUCUUCUCAUUUUUAAUUCUUUUCUUUUACUUUAUCUCUCCAUUUUGAUUCAUAUGCAUUGUAUAUGCAAUUCUCUAGUGCAAAAUGAGGCAAAGAAUCUAAGAUAUAAUUACAGAGUUUUGCGAUCUAAAUAUAAACAUGCAAAGAGUAACUAAUUUGUCAGUUUAUAUUUUAUUACCUGAUGCAUGAAAACUUUUUUUAUGCAUAUCCUUCAAAAAGCUUCUUUUAGAUGCAACUUACAUUUAUGAGAUAAUAUGUGAUUUUUUUUUUAAGAAUCGAGGUACAUAUGUUGAAAUUUAAGACUCCAUGGAUAAGUUGAAGUUAGUGCAAUUAUAUUGAAUGAUAAUUGAUGGAUGGUGGAUAGAUCGAUAGUUUUAGUUUGCUUUUUUUUAUUUCCUAUGAAAAAUGAUUACUCUUUUAUUAUGGCGAUAUGUGUGUGUA
rnacentral:lncRNA from 1 species